GGUGAUGAGAGCGAAACAUUUUUUAUAAGGGUGUGAAAACCUCUUCCUAGUAGACGCGUUUUAAAACUAUGACAUUGAUGGCGAUGUGUAACAAGCCAAAGUGACAAUAUCUGCUAGUGGUGGGCUUAGGCUGUUACAAAUGGUAUCAAAGCUAGACAUCAGGCUGUGUGUCAGUGAGGACGUUGGCUCCCAAAUGGGUGAAUUGUGAGAUCAUACAUCGGUUGGAGAGGGGAGCGAAAAAAUCCUUAUAAGUUUGUGGAAACCUCUCCCUAGUAGAUGCGUUUUAAAACCGUAAGGCUGACGGCGAUACGUAAUGAGAUAAAGCGAACAAUAUCUGUCAGUAAUGAAUUUGAACGGUUAAAAAUAGUAUCAAAACGAGAUACGCAUACUCUUGAAUUUGCUCCAUUGAUAGAUGCUCCAUUGUGCUGUUGCAAAGUUUUGUUUUGUAUUAUAUGAGGGACACACCCAUGUGAGACGACUCCGAGGGAAUUGCUCGAGUCGAUGGGCACAAACGGAGAUUGAAAACUAUCCACUACAAGGCAAGAACUCAAAGACGAGUGCAUCAUUUCACUCCUCCAGCUCGGAAGAUCAUAUCGAAACAGAAUCCGUACACUAGACCAACCGAAUAUGUAGAACUGCCCAAUGGUAGUCAUGACCCUCCACCAAACAACCCGCCUAGACAACAUCUGAAAACGCCAUGAGCAUCUAAGGCUCUACAAGGCAAUGCAGACAGUAACAUUCAGUAUUCGUCGUCUAACAAUCCAAGUCCAUUGCUAACAAAUAUUGUCCACUUUAACCCGUUACAUAUUAUCGUCAGUCUCAUGAUUUUUAAAACACGUUUGC